UUCCGGUUGAUCCUGCCGGACCCCACUGCUAUCGGGAUAGGACUAAGACAUGCUAGUCGUGUGCCUCAGCCAAAACGAGGCACGGCGCACAGCUCAGUAACACGUGGCUAACCUGCCCUUAGGGCGAGAAUAACCCCGGGAAACUGGGGCUAAUGCUCGAUAGGUGAAGAACUCUGGAAUGAGUCUUCACUUAAAAGAGUCUGCGUUAUGCUCGUAGGUUUCGCUUAAGGAUGGGGCCGCGACCGAUCAGGUUGUUGGUGAGGUAAUGGCUCACCAAGCCUUUUACCGGUGCGGGCCGUGAGAGCGGGAGCCCGGAGAUGGGCACUGAGACAAGGGCCCAGGCCCUACGGGGCGCAGCAGUCGCGAAAACUUUGCAAUACACGAAAGUGUGACAGGGCUAUCCCGAGUGCCAUCCGCUGAGGAAGGCUUUUACCCAGUCUAGAACGCUGGGGGAAUAAGGAGAGGGCAAGUCUGGUGUCAGCCGCCGCGGUAAUACCAGCUCUCCGAGUGGUGUGGAUGUUUAUUGGGCCUAAAGCAUCCGUAGCUGGCUAAGUUAGUCCCCUGUUAAAUCCAACGAAUUAAUCGUUGGAUCGCGGGGAAUACUGCUUGGCUAGGGGACGAGAGAGGCAGACGGUAUUUCCGGGGUAGGGGUGAAAUCCUAUAAUCCCGGGAAGACCACCAGUGGCGAAGGCUGUCUGCUAGAACGCGCCCGACGGUGAGGGAUGAAAGCUGGGGGAGCGAACCGGAUUAGAUACCCGGGUAGUCCCAGCUGUAAACGAUGCAGGCUAGGUGUUUGGACGGCCACGUGCCGUUCUAGUGCCGCAGGGAAGCUGUUAAGCCUGCCGCCUGGGGAGUACGAUCGCAAGAUUGAAACUUAAAGGAAUUGGCGGGGGAGCACCACAAGGGGUGAAGCUUGCGGUUUAAUUGGAUUCCGGUUGAUCCCGCCGGAAUUGGAUUCAACGCCGGG
rnacentral:rRNA from 1 species